AGAGGUUAUGGUAAGGAACUGAUGGAGUGGCUAUGUUUUAGGACCGGGACGGAUGGAGGGGCGAGACGGAUCAUCAUUUAGGCCAAACGGGGCUAUGGAGGAAAGCCUAAAGAUCCACCUUCUCUCAGCAGCUCUCCUCUGGACCAGGGACCAACCGACAUUGGUCUCUAGACCGGACAAUGAAAAGUUGUUGAUAUGAUGUGAGAUGAAACGGUCCUGCAUAGUUUGCACUGGAUGGCGUAGACGACAUUGCAGGAGAGUAGUGUGAAGGUCUGCGAGAUGGGGGCACCGGCUCGACAGUUGAAGAUGUACUUCAGGGAGAACGGGCCGGCCUGGCUGGAAGAGGGCGGUCACUUCCCCUUUAAUGGUCAGAAGAAAACGUUGGAAUAGCCGCGAGGUCUAAGGGCCUUGAAAAGGGUCCUGGUGGCCUCCUCUACGUGAUGAGGUAGAGAGCAGAUGCGGUGGAAACGGAUUAGUUGUGACUUGAUGAUGGAGCUGAAAGUAUGCCGGGGAUGGUAGCUGGUGUUAAAUAAUAAGGAAUGCCUGUCAGUGUCUUUAAAAUAAACCUUGGUGGCUAAUGUUUUGUGUCCAUCCUUCGUCUCUGUGAAAAAAACUAUCGUGUCAAGGAAGGGGACCUGCCGAAGAUGGAGAGUGUGUUUGAGUUUGAUACGGGGGUGGU